GAAUAUUUGACAAUGGGGGGAACCCUGAUCCAGCCAUGCCGCGUGUGUGAAGAAGGCCUUUUGGUUGUAAAGCACUUUAAACGAGGAGGAGGCUACUCGUGUUAAUACCUAGGGAUAGUGGACGUUACUCGCAGAAAAAGCGUCGGCGAACUCGGUGCCGGCAGACGCGGUAAUACAGAGGUUGCAAGCGUUAAUCGGAUUUAUUGGGCGUAAAGCGCGCGUAGGUGGCCAAUUAAGUCAAAUGUGAAAUGCCCUGUCUUAACUUGGGAAUUGCAUUCGAUACUGGUUGGCUAGAGUAUGGGAGAGGAUGGUAGAAUUCCAGGUGUAGCGGUGAAAUGCGUAGAGAUCUGGAGGAAUACCGAUGGCGAAGGCAGCCAUCUGGCCUAAUACUGACACUGAGGUGCGAAAGCAUGGGGAGCAAACA
rnacentral:rRNA from 1 species